rnacentral:rRNA from 1 species
CCUACGGGGUGCUGCAGUGAGGAAUAUUGGUCAAUGGACGCAAGUCUGAACCAGCCAUGCCGCGUGCAGGAAGACGGCUCUAUGAGUUGUAAACUGCUUUUGUACGAGGGUAAACGCAGAUACGCGUAUCUGUCUGAAAGUAUCGUACGAAUAAGGAUCGGCUAACUCCGUGCCAGCAGCCGCGGUAAUACGGAGGAUUCAAGCGUUAUCCGGAUUUAUUGGGUUUAAAGGGUGCGUAGGCGGUCGGAUAAGUUAGAGGUGAAAUCCCGAGGCUCAACUUCGGAAUUGCCUCUGAUACUGUUCGUCUAGAGCGUAUUUGCGGUAGGCGGAAUGUAUGGUGUAGCGGUGAAAUGCUUAGAGAUCAUACAGAACACCGAUUGCGAAGGCAGCUUACCAAGCUACUUCUGACGUUGAGGCACGAAAGCGUGGGGAGCAAACAGGAUUAGAUACCCCUGUAGUC